rnacentral:rRNA from 1 species
UACGUAGGGUCCGAGCGUUGUCCGGAAUUAUUGGGCGUAAAGAGCUCGUAGGCGGUUUGUCGCGUCUGCUGUGAAAUCCCGAGGCUCAACCUCGGGCCUGCAGUGGGUACGGGCAGACUGGAGUGCGGUAGGGGAGAAUGGAAUUCCUGGUGUAGCGGUGGAAUGCGCAGAUAUCAGGAGGAACACCGAUGGCGAAGGCAGUUCUCUGGGCCGCAACUGACGCUGAGGAGCGAAAGCAUGGGGAGCGAACAGG